UAUCCGAAUAAAAUUGGGCCUGAAUUGUUCCACCCAACUACUUCUAAGCCCAUAUAAGCAGCCCCAGCUGCAAGGCCCAAACCAAAAGCAACAAUAAUAGUACUCGGCGGAGACACGGUUCCUCAAAAGAUUCAGAACCACAAGACACACAGUCUCAGGGAACCAAUCUGUCACGCUUCGACUUGGAUCAAUGUCCAAUCAUCAGAUUGCGCCAGAGAUCAAUUCCUGGGGAGAGACUUCAGAGGAAGACUACUUCAAUCUCAAAGGCAUAAUCGGCUCCAAAACUUUCUUCACUUCCCCUCGUGGAAUCAACCUCUUCACUCGUUCAUGACUUCCUUCUUCAUCUCCGCCACGCCGCCUCAUCUUCAUGGUCCAUGGUGAAGAGAAAUCCAAUGAGGUACAGUGAGAUACCGAGAUGCUGUGACUGAUCCUGAGGAGUGAGGUGAAUAAAGAGUUGUACGAAGAUGCCAAGAGUAAAUACAAGACGUUGAAGAUCUACGAAGGGAUGAUAUGCAUUCGAUGUUGUUCGGUGAACCUGAUUACAACAUUGAUAUAAUGUUGUGUAUAUUCAUAUUUUAUCAAUAAACAAUGUAUUUGAGUUAA